rnacentral:rRNA from 1 species
CUUGGCGACCUUAGCGCUGUGGUCCCACCUGAAUCCAUGCCGAACUCAGAAGUGAAACGCAGUAGCGCCGAUGGUAGUGUGGGGUCUCCCCAUGUGAGAGUAGGACAUCGCCAAGC